UACGUAGGGGGCUAGCGUUGUCCGGAUUUAUUGGGCGUAAAGAGCGUGUAGGCGGCCAGGUAGGUCUGCUGUGAAAACUCGAGGCUCAACCUCGAGACGUCGGCGGAAACCAUCUGGCUAGAGUCCGGAAGAGGAGAGUGGAAUUCCUGGUGUAGCGGUGAAAUGCGCAGAUAUCAGGAAGAACACCCGUGGCGAAGGCGGCUCUCUGGGACGGUACUGACGCUGAGACGCGAAAGCGUGGGGAGCGAACAGGG
rnacentral:rRNA from 1 species